rnacentral:lncRNA from 1 species
UUACCGAAGUCAAAGGAGCGAUUAGGUUGAAAAAAUAAAGGAUUUCUAACCAUCUUAUAUCCUAUAACACUAUAACAUAGACCAAUUAAACGAAACGAAAACAAAAAGAGAUGAUAGAGAAUCCGUUGAGAAGUUUACCUGUAUCCAAGGUAUCUAUUCUUACUAAAAUACUUUAUUUUAAUUGUAUCGCACUAUGUAUCAUUUGAUAACCCUCAAAAUCUUCCAUCUUUGAUUCAAAUCGAAUUUCAAAUGA